rnacentral:piRNA from 1 species
UGAAGGGACAGUGGCCAUUGCAUCAAGUC